rnacentral:lncRNA from 1 species
GUUUAAAACAGUAUAUGACUCAGAGUGAAAUAGUUAUAUAUGCUGAAAAAAUAUCACAGUUGAAGAGAACAAGAACUAACACCUGGGAAGAAAGUCACACAAUUCUUAUAAUACUGAAUGUUGGAAACCUAGAAGUUGACUAAUUUGGUCUUUGGCCAACUUACCAAGCAUUCUUUACAGAAGCAUAUAAUGUAUAAAGGAAAAGUCCUUGGAAGCACGGUAUUUCACAGAGGUAAGAUCUUCUCUCAACACCUUUGAUCCUCAUCUAGACCACACAAUCGAGCAGUC